rnacentral:lncRNA from 1 species
UCACGGACAUAGGGGGCACGUUUGUUCAUAACUACGGUAUCAAAACUUUUACACCAGUGCCAUCACAACAUUACUCAAAAGCACCUCAAAAUUAAAAAAUUAAACAGUUUUGGCAACUGAGGUGCUAAAAUUAGACAAAGAUAAAAGUUGAGAGACAAAAAUCAACUUUAUCAAGUACCUUUUUAGGUAUUUAAGAAAAAUUUCAUAUUUAAAUUUACUUAUUGAUAAAUAUACCCUUCAUCCACAACAGAAUGCAA